AUUAGAUACCCUAUUAUUUUAAAUGUAAAUUUUAAAUACUAAAUUAGUAAAAGUUAUGUUCUUUAAAAUUAAAAAAUUUGGCGGUAUUUUAGUCUUUUCAGAGGAACCUGUUCUAUAAUUGAUAGUCCACGAUAAGAUGAACUUUACUUAUUAGUUUACAUAUCGUCGUAGUUAGAAUAUUUUAUUAGAAAAUUAAUAUUCAAGAUUUUUAAUUAUAAAUUAAAUCAGAUCAAGGUGUAGUUUAUAGUAAAGGAGAAAUGGGUUACAUUAAAUUUAUUUAAGGAUGAUUUUUUUUAUAAAAAUCUGAAUGUGGAUUUGAAAGUAAUUUUUUAGGUUUAUUUAAAAUGAUUAUAGCUCUAAAAUAUGUACACAUCGCCCGUCGCUCUUA
rnacentral:rRNA from 1 species